CGGAUCGUAAACUUCUUUUGCUUGGGACUAACCGCCUCAUAGAAAUAUGAGGAAUGAAUGUACCAGGCGAAUAAGCCACGGCUAACUUCGUGC
rnacentral:rRNA from 1 species